UUAAUUUAUUAUUCACCUUCCAAACCACUGUCUCAAAGCAAUUUACCCAUCUGGUAAAUUGCUUUGAGACAGUGGUUUGGAAGGUGAUUAAUAAAUUGA